UACAGGGGGUGCAAGCGUUGCUCGGAAUCACUGGGCGUAAAGCGUACGCAGGCGGACCGUUAAGUCGGGUGUGAAAGCCCGGGGCUCAACCCCGGAACUGCAUUCGAUACUGGCGGUCUUGAAUACGGGAGAGGUGAGUGGAAUUCCUGGUGUAGAGGUGAAAUGCGCAGAUAUCAGGAAGAACACCUAUGGCGAAGGCAGCUCUCUGGGACGGUACUGACGCUGAGACGCGAAAGCGUGGGGAGCGAACAGG
rnacentral:rRNA from 1 species